rnacentral:rRNA from 1 species
UGGUAACUCUGUGCCGGCAGCCGCGGUAAUACAGAGGGGGGAAGCGUUGGUCGGACUGACUGGGCGUAAAGGUCGCGUAGGCGGCCUGCUAAGUCGAACGUGAAAUCCCCGGGCUCAACCCGGGAACGGCGUCCGAUACUGGCAGGCUUGAAUCCGGGAGAGGGAUGCGGAAUUCCAGGUGUAGCGGUGAAAUGCGUAGAUAUCUGGAGGAACACCGGUGGCGAAGGCGGCAUCCUGGACCGGCAUUGACGCUGAGGCGCGAAAGCCAGGGGAGCAAACGGGAUUAGAUACCCGAGUAGUC